rnacentral:rRNA from 1 species
GGCCUUGACAUACUAAGAACUUUCCAGAGAUGGAUUGGUGCCUUCGGGAACUUAGAUACAGGUGCUGCAUGGCUGUCGUCAGCUCGUGUCGUGAGAUUGUUGGGUUAAGUCCCGNAACGAGCGCAACCCUUUCCUUAUUUGCCAGCGGGUCAUGCCGGGAACUUUAAGGAUACUGCCAGUGACAAACUGGAGGAAGGCGGGGACGACGUCAAGUCAUCAUGGCCCUUACGGCCAGGGCUACACACGUGCUACAAUGGUCGGUACAAAGGGUUGCUACCUCGCGAGAGGAUGCUAAUCUCAAAAAGCCGAUCGUAGUCCGGAUCGCAGUCUGCAACUCGACUGCGUGAAGUCGGAAUCGCUAGUAAUCGCGGAUCAGAAUGCCGCGGUGAAUACGUUCCCGGGCCUUGUACACACCGCCCGUCACACCAUGGGAGUUUGUUGCACCAGAAGUAGGUAGUCUAACCGCAAGGAGGACGCCUACCACGGUGUGGCCGAUGACUGGGGUGAAGUCGUAACAAGGUAAGCGUAGAUGA